rnacentral:rRNA from 1 species
CCUACGGGUGGCAGCAGUCGAGAAUCUUUCUCAAUGGGGUAAACCCUGAUGGUGCGACGCCGCGUGGAGGAAUGCAGGUCUUCGGAUUGUAAACCCCUGUCAUGUGGGAGUAAAUUAAAAAGAUAGUACCACUUUAGGAAGAGACGGCUAACUCUGUGCCAGCAGCCGCGGUAAUACAGAGGUCUCAAGCGUUGUACGGAGUCACUGGGCGGAAAGCGUGCGUAGGCGGGUUCGGAAGUCGUGUGUGAAAGGGGGGGGCUCAACACGAGAACGGCACAUGACAAUGGGCGACUAGAGUACAGGUGAGGGAGGCGGAAUUCGUGGUGUAGCGGGGAAAUGCUUAGAUAUCACGAAGAACACUGAUGGAGAAGGCAGGUU